rnacentral:rRNA from 1 species
AGCGGUAGCACAGAGAGCUUGCUCUCGGGUGACGAGCGGCGGACGGGUGAGUAAUGUCUGGGAAACUGCCUGAUGGAGGGGGAUAACUACUGGAAACGGUAGCUAAUACCGCAUAAUGUCGCAAGACCAAAGUGGGGGACCUUCGGGCCUCAUGCCAUCAGAUGUGCCCAGAUGGGAUUAGCUAGUAGGUGGGGUAACGGCUCACCUAGGCGACGAUCCCUAGCUGGUCUGAGAGGAUGACCAGCCACACUGGAACUGAGACACGGUCCAGACUCCUACGGGAGGCAGCAGUGGGGAAUAUUGCACAAUGGGCGCAAGCCUGAUGCAGCCAUGCCGCGUGUGUGAAGAAGGCCUUCGGGUUGUAAAGCACUUUCAGCGGGGAGGAAGGCGAUAAGGUUAAUAACCUUGUCGAUUGACGUUACCCGCAGAAGAAGCACCGGCUAACUCCGUGCCAGCAGCCGCGGUAAUACGGAGGGUGCAAGCGUUAAUCGGAAUUACUGGGCGUAAAGCGCACGCAGGCGGUCUGUCAAGUCGGAUGUGAAAUCCCCGGGCUCAACCUGGGAACUGCAUUCGAAACUGGCAGGCUAGAGUCUUGUAGAGGGGGGUAGAAUUCCAGGUGUAGCGGUGAAAUGCGUAGAGAUCUGGAGGAAUACCGGUGGCGAAGGCGGCCCCCUGGACAAAGACUGACGCUCAGGUGCGAAAGCGUGGGGAGCAAACAGGAUUAGAUACCCUGGUAGUCCACGCCGUAAACGAUGUCGAUUUGGAGGUUGUGCCCUUGAGGCGUGGCUUCCGGAGCUAACGCGUUAAAUCGACCGCCUGGGGAGUACGGCCGCAAGGUUAAAACUCAAAUGAAUUGACGGGGGCCCGCACAAGCGGUGGAGCAUGUGGUUUAAUUCGAUGCAACGCGAAGAACCUUACCUGGUCUUGACAUCCACAGAACUUUCCAGAGAUGGAUUGGUGCCUUCGGGAACUGUGAGACAGGUGCUGCAUGGCUGUCGUCAGCUCGUGUUGUGAAAUGUUGGGUUAAGUCCCGCAACGAGCGCAACCCUUAUCCUUUGUUGCCAGCGGUUCGGCCGGGAACUCAAAGGAGACUGCCAGUGAUAAACUGGAGGAAGGUGGGGAUGACGUCAAGUCAUCAUGGCCCUUACGACCAGGGCUACACACGUGCUACAAUGGCAUAUACAAAGAGAAGCGACCUCGCGAGAGCAAGCGGACCUCAUAAAGUAUGUCGUAGUCCGGAUUGGAGUCUGCAACUCGACUCCAUGAAGUCGGAAUCGCUAGUAAUCGUAGAUCAGAAUGCUACGGUGAAUACGUUCCCGGGCCUUGUACACACCGCCCGUCACACCAUGGGAGUGGGUUGCAAAAGAAGUAGGUAGCUUAACCUUCG